rnacentral:rRNA from 1 species
GACGAACGCUGGCGGCGUGCCUAAUACAUGCAAGUAGAACGCUGAAGGAGGAGCUUGCUUCUCUGGAUGAGUUGCGAACGGGUGAGUAACGCGUAGGUAACCUGCCUGGUAGCGGGGGAUAACUAUUGGAAACGAUAGCUAAUACCGCAUAACAGUAGAUAUCGCAUGAUAUCUACUUGAAAGGUGCAAUUGCAUCACUACCAGAUGGACCUGCGUUGUAUUAGCUAGUUGGUGAGGUAACGGCUCACCAAGGCGACGAUACAUAGCCGACCUGAGAGGGGGAUCGGCCACCCUGGGACUGAGACACGGCCCAGACUCCUACGGGAGGCAGCAGUAGGGAAUCUUCGGCGAUGGACGGAAGUCUGACCGAGCAACGCCGCGUGAGUGAAGAAGGUUUUCGGAUCGUAAAGCUCUGUUGUAAGAGAAGAACGAGUGUGAGAGUGGAAAGUUCACACUGUGACGGUAUCUUACCAGAAAGAGACGGCUAACUACGUG